rnacentral:rRNA from 1 species
ACGGGAGGCAGCAGUGGGGAAUAUUGGACAAUGGGGGCAACCCUGAUCCAGCGACGCCGCGUGAGCGAUGAAGUAUUUCGGUAUGUAAAGCUCUAUCAGCAGGGAAGAUAAUGACGGUACCUGACUAAGAAGCACCGGCUAAAUACGUGCCAGCAGCCGCGGUAAUACGUAUGGUGCAAGCGUUAUCCGGAUUUACUGGGUGUAAAGGGAGCGUAGGCGGUUUUAUAAGUCUGAAGUGAAAGCCCGGGGCUCAACCCCGGGACUGCUUUGGAAACUGUAGAACUAGAGUGUCGGAGGGGUAAGUGGAAUUCCUAGUGUAGCGGUGAAAUGCGUAGAUAUUAGGAGGAACACCAGUGGCGAAGGCGGCUUACUGGACUGUAACUGACGUUGAGGCUCGAAAGCGUGGGGAGCAAACAGGAUUAGAUACCCUGGUA